GUGCUCACUUCGGCAGCACAUAUACUAAAGUUGGAACGAUACAGAGAAGAUUAGCCUGGCCUUUGCACAAGGAUGACAGGAAAAUUUGAGAAGCAUUCCAUAUUUUU
ensembl:snRNA U6 U6 spliceosomal RNA